CCCACGCACUUUAGAAGACUCGAGGGGGGCCUCAAGGAUUUGGUCGCCCGACUCCUCGCAAGACGCCACCGCCGCUGACUCCUCCCCAAGAUGCCGCCGCCGACUCCUCCCCGCCGCCCGACGCCUCGACGCCGACAUACUGGACUUCUCCCCGGUGGUUGAGAAGUAGAACAAGCAGAGGGAGAAUGGGACGUUUGCACAUUGGUCUUUCUAAAUCAUCUGUUUGAGAGUCUCCUCGGUUGCUUUUGUGUCGGCGCUACUGCUGCCUUGUGCUUGGAAUUUAUGCUCUUGUCAUGUACUCUCUUCCAACAAUCGCUGCAGAAUAUCAAGUGAUGCUUUUCUUUAUGUUGCAUAAAUAGUUCAACAUGCUUAAAUGUACGCAUGUCUUUCCUGGGACUUGUGAAUGCCUCCCUGUCAAACAGUGAGAGAUUAUGAUGUUGUAUGUGACAGUAUGUGAUGACAUAUUGAUUCUAAUUUCUAAGUCA